rnacentral:lncRNA from 1 species
GUUUUGUGUGUGUGUGUGUGUGUGUGUGUGUGUGUGUGUGUGUUUUAAUCAAGGCUCUUCUUUGUCUUAUGUUUCACUAUGGAAAGAGAAGCCCCAGGAUCAGGGAGGCAGGCCUGAUGCUCCCUUCUGGUAGCAGAACAGAAUUAGAGGGAGAGGAGGAGAUGGUUUGCGGCUUGCUUUCUUCUGGCCCAGAGACAUCCCAGAAUUUGUGUGUGGCUGAUUCUGGGUGCCACACAUUAGAAAGGAACUUCAGAGGCUGGAAUGUGUCCAAGGGAGGUGACCAGGAGAGUGAGGGGAGUGGAGACGAUGCCAUCUGAGGAUGAACGGAAGUAAGUAGAGAUGUUUGAGUCUGGAGAAGAUAGGACCUGUUGAGUGCAGUAGUUGCUUUCAAGAUUUUGAAGGUCUAUUACAUGGAAGAGAGAUUAGACCUGUUUUGAUUAGCCCCAGAAGGCAGAAGUGGGAGCUUUGGGUGAGAGUUGUAGACAGGUAGAUUUAGGAUGAUAUAAAUAAAAUGUUCCUAACAAUGAAGCUUAUAGGAACA